UUAACUUGAUAUUUUGUUAUUUUAAUGUGUUCACAUACAAUCAUUUAUACAUUUGGCAUAAUUCUCCAGUAGUUUUGGGGCCAGAGCAUCACUGUUCAUUCACAUUAGACCCCGAAACACACUUGAAUUAUCUUCAGAGAGUGGAGCACAAGAUGUUUAUAUUAGUAAAAAGCUGGUUUUGUGCACCAUCUAGUGACAAGAGAGGAUUCUACAAAUGCUACAGUAUCAUUCGCAAACACAGCAAAAAGUGUACAUUAAUUUCACAAUGCUCAAACCAACAAUAAAAGAGUCAUAACUUAAAUUCAUAAUCAGUUAUUCAGGAUUAAUUUUGUUUGUUGAUUCCAAAACAGACCUUGAUUCCAAAAUGAUUCCAUUUGGAACAUAGUUACACUGCAAUGUCAUAACAUUGGAAUACACAUAAACAAAUGCAUAUUUUCACACAGCCUCCUCCCCCGCCCAAUUCACUCCUUAACUCUUUCUUUUUAGCAGGUGACAAAGGCGGCCACACCAGCUCAUCCUGAGGUGUGGUGGCCAUCCCACCCGCUGAGCUGAGAGUGGAUCCAUCACCAUCAGCUGUUAGACUUGUUUUACCCGUACAGUCAGCUGAGCACAGAUGCAUGAUACUGGUAUGUGUCGAGAGAAUGUAGUUCUUAGGCUUUAGUACUGACUCAGGCAAAACAAUACAUAUGAAGGCAACUCUAUAGGCAGCUUUCAUGGCAAAACACUCAACACCUUCAAUCAGAAUCCGAAGCAUCAUCAUACUUAUCAAAAAUUACAGAUGAUUCACGCAUAGCUCAUGACUUGUUUAUUUCAUGAGGGAAAAAAAAAAAUGUAGUGUCUCAAUCCAUAUCUGCUCCUGAGGUAGUUCCUUAGAAUACACAAAGUGAUACUGAUCUUCAGAUUUCUGGGAAGGAGUUAAAAAGCUCCCUCAGUCUGUGAGUGGUCUCGGUGGAUGAGAGGUUGUUUAACUCUCGCACAUAUGCGAGUAGGUUACCCACAAUAAGCCGAAGACAGUCCCGAAGUUCCCUCAAGUCUCUGUCCGAGCGGGAACCGCCUUCUGCAAUAGCCAUUCUCAAGCAUAUGUUCUUCAAGUCAACACUGUGCUAAAACACAAAUGGGAAUAAUUAAAAAAAGAGCUCAUAAAUAUAAUCACAAGCAAACACAGGCAGGUGAGUUUAGCAUCCACACACAGAACCAGUCAGAUGCUGACUGAAUAUUUAAUUGUAACACAGUUGUAAUAUGUGA
ensembl:lncRNA